AUGAGUUAAGUAUAAACCCCUUUACAAGUAACAAUUGGAGGGCAAGUCUGGUGCCAGCAGCCGCGGUAAUUCCAGCUCCAAUAGCGUAUAUUAAAGUUGUUGCAGUUAAAAAGCUCGUAGUUGGAUUUCUGUUAAUAAUUUAUAUUAAUAUACAUUUUUGUAUUUAAUAUGAUAUUAACAUAAUUCAUAUUACUAAUUUUUUUUAGUAUAUGAAAUUUUACUUUGAGAAAAUUAGAGUGCUUAAAGCAGGCAAUUGCCUUGUAUACUACAGCAUGGAAUAAUAAUAAAAGAUUUUUAUCUUUUUUUUUUAUUGGUUCUAAGAUAAAAAUAAUGAUUAAUAGGGACAGUUGGGGGCAUUUGUAUUUAACAGUUAGAGGUGAAAUUCUUAGAUUUGUUAAAGACAAACUAAUGCGAAAGCAUUUGCCAAGGAUGUUUUCAUUAAUCAAGAACGAAAGUUAGGGGAUCGAAGACGAUCAGAUACCGUCGUAGU
rnacentral:rRNA from 1 species